GCGGGUGUAGUUCAAUGGCAGAAUUCCAGCCUUCCAAGCUGGCCGUGUGGGUUCGAUUCCCAUCACCCGCUCCA
rnacentral:tRNA from 1 species